UACGUAGGGUGCAAGCGUUGUCCGGAAUUAUUGGGCGUAAAGAGCUCGUAGGCGGUCUGUCGCGUCGGAUGUGAAAAAUCCAGGGCUCAACCCUGGACCUGCAUUCGAUACGGGCAGACUAGAGUUCGGUAGGGGAGGACUGGAAUUCCUGGUGUAGCGGUGAAAAUGCGCAGAUAUCAGGAGGAACACCGAUGGCGAAGGCAGGGUCUCCUGGGCCACUACUGACGCUGAGAAGCGAAAGCAUGGGGAGCGAACAGG
rnacentral:rRNA from 1 species